AUUGAACGCUGGCGGAAUGCUUUACACAUGCAAGUCGAACGAUGAACCUUAGCUUGCUAAGGGGAUUAGUGGCGAACGGGUGAGUAAUAUAUCGGAACGUGCCUUGUAAUGGGGGAUAACUAGUCGAAAGAUUAGCUAAUACCGCAUACGCCCUGAGGGGGAAAGUAGGGGAUCUUCGGACCUUACGUUAUAAGAGCGGCCGAUAUCUGAUUAGCUAGUUGGUGGGGUAAUGGCCUACCAAGGCGACGAUCAGUAGCUGGUCUGAGAGGACGACCAGCCACACUGGAACUGAGACAUGGUCCAGACUCCUACGGGAGGCAGCAGUGGGGAAUUUUGGACAAUGGGCGCAAGCCUGAUCCAGCCAUUCCGCGUGAGUGAAGAAGGCCUUCGGGUUGUAAAGCUCUUUCGCAAGGGAAGAAAACUUACCAUCGAAUAAAUGGUGAGGCUGACGGUACCUUGAUAAGAAGCACCGGCUAACUACGUG
rnacentral:rRNA from 1 species